rnacentral:rRNA from 1 species
UCGAACGGCAGCACGGAGCUUGCUCUGGUGGCGAGUGGCGAACGGGUGAGUAAUAUAUCGGAACGUACCCUAGAGUGGGGGAUAACGUAGCGAAAGUUACGCUAAUACCGCAUACGAUCUAAGGAUGAAAGUGGGGGAUCGCAAGACCUCAUGCUCGUGGAGCGGCCGAUAUCUGAUUAGCUAGUUGGUAGGGUAAAAGCCUACCAAGGCAUCGAUCAGUAGCUGGUCUGAGAGGACGACCAGCCACACUGGAACUGAGACACGGUCCAGACUCCUACGGGAGGCAGCAGUGGGGAAUUUUGGACAAUGGGCGAAAGCCUGAUCCAGCAAUGCCGCGUGAGUGAAGAAGGCCUUCGGGUUGUAAAGCUCUUUUGUCAGGGAAGAAACGGUGGGAGCUAAUAUCUCUUGCUAAUGACGGUACCUGAAGAAUAAGCACCGGCUAACUACGUGCCAGCAGCCGCGGUAAU